GAAUAUUGGACAAUGGGGGCCACCCUGAUCCAGCCAUGCCGCGUGUGUGAAGACGGCCUUUUGGUUGUCAAGCACUUUAAGCAGUGAAGAAGACUCCAUGGUUAAUACCCAUGGACGAUGACAUUAGCUGCAGAAUAAGCACCGGCUAACUCCGUGCCCGCAGCCGCGGGAAUACAGAGGGGGCAAGCGUUAAUCGGAAUUACUGGGCGUAAAGCGAGCGUAGGUGGCUUGAUAAGGCAGAUGUGAAAUCCCCGGGCUUAACCUGGGAACUGCAUCUGAUACUGUUAGGCUAGAAUAGGUGAGAGGAAGGUAGAAUUCCAGGUGUAGCGGUGAAAUGCGUAGAGAUCUGGAGGAAUACCGAGGGCGAAGGCAGCCUUCUGGCAUCAUAUUGACACUGAGGUUCGAAAGCGUGGGUAGCAAAC
rnacentral:rRNA from 1 species